GUAGGGUCCCAUGCUCCAGGGCUACCAGUAACUAUGCUGAGUAAUUAAGGUCCAGUCAUCCACGCAGCUGGCUAUGAACACUGGUCCCAAAAUAUCUGUCUGCAGAAGUCAUUGUCAUUGGAGACAGAAUCUAUGGAGUUCAUCAGGAAUCACCAAGAAAACACCAAAUUACAUAAAUCUUAGUAUCUUUUCGUUUUCAUAUGCUUUAAAAGAGGUACAUUUCAAAAUUUGUAACUGAAAAAAGGGGCCCAGAUACCAACCUUCUCGAAGCAGACUGAAAGACUUGUAUUCAUUUCAA